rnacentral:rRNA from 1 species
CUCCAGUUGAUCGCAUGGUCUUCUGGGAAAGCUUUCGCGGUAUGGGAUGGGGUCGCGUCCUAUCAGCUUGACGGCGGGGUAACGGCCCACCGUGGCUUCGACGGGUAGCCGGCCUGAGAGGGCGACCGGCCACAUUGGGACUGAGAUACGGCCCAGACUCCUACGGGAGGCAGCAGUGGGGAAUAUUGCACAAUGGGCGCAAGCCUGAUGCAGCGACGCCGCGUGAGGGAUGGAGGCCUUCGGGUUGUAAACCUCUUUUAUCGGGGAGCAAGCGAGAGUGAGUUUACCCGUUGAAUAAGCACCGGCUAACUACGUGCCAGCAGCCGCGGUAAUACGUAGGGUGCAAGCGUUAUCCGGAAUUAUUGGGCGUAAAGGGCUCGUAGGCGGUUCGUCGCGUCCGGUGUGAAAGUCCAUCGCUUAA